GACGAACGCUGGCGGCGCGCCUAACACAUGCAAGUCGAACGAGAGAUGAAGAGCUUGCUCUUCAAAUCGAGUGGCGAACGGGUGAGUAACGCGUGAGGAACCUGCCUCAAAGAGGGGGACAACAGUUGGAAACGACUGCUAAUACCGCAUAAGCCCACGGCUCGGCAUCGAGCAGAGGGAAAAGGAGCAAUCCGCUUUGAGAUGGCCUCGCGUCCGAUUAGCUAGUUGGUGAGGUAACGGCCCACCAAGGCGACGAUCGGUAGCCGGACUGAGAGGUUGAACGGCCACAUUGGGACUGAGACACGGCCCAGACUCCUACGGGAGGCAGCAGUGGGGAAUAUUGCACAAUGGGGGAAACCCUGAUGCAGCGACGCCGCGUGGAGGAAGAAGGUCUUCGGAUUGUAAACUCCUGUUGUUGAGGAAGAUAAUGACGGUACUCAACAAGGAAGUGACGGCUAACUACGUGCCAGCAGCCGCGGUAAAACGUAGGUCACAAGCGUUGUCCGGAAUUACUGGGUGUAAAGGGAGCGCAGGCGGGAGAACAAGUUGGAAGUGAAAUCCAUGGGCUCAACCCAUGAACUGCUUUAAAACUGUUUUUCUUGAGUAGUGCAGAGGUAGGCGUAUUUCCCGGUGUAGCGGUGGAGUGCAUAUAUAUGGGGAGGAACACCAGUGGAGAGUGCGGUCUACUGGGCACCAACUGACUCUGAUGCUCGAAAGUGUGGGUAGCAAACGGGAUUUAUAUUCUGUGGUACUCCACACCGUAAACAAUGAUUACUUAUGUGUUGGAGGAUUGACCCCUUCAGUGCCGCAGUAAACACAAUAAGUAAUCCACUGGGGAGUACGACCGCAAGGUUGAAACUCAAAGGAAUUGACGGGGGCCCGCACAAGCAGUGGAGUAUGUGGUUUAAUUCGACGCAACGCGAAGAACCUUACCAAGUCUUGACAUCCCUUGACGAACAUAGAAAUAUGUUUUCUCUUCGGAGCAAGGAGACAGGUGGUGCAUGGUUGUCGUCAGCUCGUGUCGUGAGAUGUUGGGUUAAGUCCCGCAACGAGCGCAACCCUUAUGGUCAGUUACUACGCAAGAGGACUCUGGCCAGACUGCCGUUGACAAAACGGAGGAAGGUGGGGAUGACGUCAAAUCAUCAUGCCCUUUAUGACUUGGGCUACACACGUACUACAAUGGCGUUAAACAAAGAGAAGCAAGACCGCGAGGUGGAGCAAAACUCAGAAACAACGUCCCAGUUCGGACUGCAGGCUGCAACUCGCCUGCACGAAGUCGGAAUUGCUAGUAAUCGUGGAUCAGCAUGCCACGGUGAAUACGUUCCCGGGCCUU
rnacentral:rRNA from 1 species